rnacentral:rRNA from 1 species
GAUGAACGCUGGCGGUAUGCUUAACACAUGCAAGUCGAACGAGAGUUUUUAACUCUAGUGGCGAACGGGUGCGUAAUACGUGAGAAUCUGCCCUUAGGAGAAGAAUAACUACUGGAAACGGUAGCUAAGUCUUCAUAUGCCGAGAGGUGAAAUAGUUUCAACUGCCUAAGGAUGAGCUCACGCCUGAUUAGCUUGUUGGUGAGGUAACGGCUUACCAAGGCCACGAUCAGUAGCUGGUUUGAGAGAACGAUCAGCCACACUGGGACUGAGACACGGCCCAGACUCCUACGGGAGGCAGCAGUAGGGAAUUUUCCGCAAUGGGCGAAAGCCUGACGGAGCAAUACCGCGUGAGGGAUGACGGCCUGUGGGUUGUAAACCUCUUUUCUCAAGGAAGAAGUUCUGACGGUACUUGAGGAAUAAGCAUCGGCUAACUCUGUGCCAGCAGCCGCGGUAAUACAGAGGAUGCAAGCGUUAUCCGGAAUCACUGGGCAUAAAGCGUCUGUAGGUUGUUUAGUAAGUCUGCUGUUAAAGACUGGGGCUCAACCCCAGAAAAGCAGUGGAAACUGCUAGACUUGAGUGUGGUAGAGGUAGAGGGAAUUCCUAGUGUAGCGGUGAAAUGCGUAGAUAUUAGGAAGAACACCAAUGGCGAAGGCACUCUACUGGGCCAUAACUGACACUCAGAGACGACAGCUAGGGGAGCAAAUGGGAUUAGAUACCCCAGUAGUCCUAGCCGUAAACGAUGGAUACUAGAUGUUGCACGUAUUAACCCGUGCAGUAUCGUAGCUAAGGCGUUAAGUAU